CGGACCGACCACAUCGACCGUUUUCGAAAAAAAAAAUUUCACAUAAAAUGCCUAGAUGCGAUAGAGUUAAAAUUGAAAAUGAUUCGUGUCGAGCACAUUGCCCGAUUUCCCCGAAGGUCAUGUUCAAUAAAAUGCGAUUAAAUUAUGAGGUUUACGCACCUCCGACUAGGAGGGAGAUGGCCUCCCCCGAGUCGACGAGUACAUCCAGCAUACACAAUGACACCGGAUUCACCAGCAUUUAUGAGUACAAUUUCUUAUUGACUGAAGAGGAAAUCGAAGAAGACCUGGCAGUAAUA